AGGUUGCCUCAUUACAGGGAAGUCUCACCAAGAGGCAGCUUUAGUGUCAAAUGCUGGGAAGAUGAACACAAAAUGGGACGCUCCUGGUCCCUCCGGAGGGCUGCAUUUGGGGGAAGCAGUGCAUUUGGGGUCAGGGAUUGAAAUGUCAAGCCAGGAGUGGAGACAAGACGUGGACCACUGUCUUGGGCCAACAUCUCCCCCAGGGCCUCACCUGUCUCCCUGCAGCAUCCUUGGGGGAAGGAGGAUUUGGGAAAGGGAGUGAGGAGGGCUCUAGGUUCUGUGUCCAGGAGUGACCUAGUGGUCCCCGGUGUUCAGGGAUCUCUGCCCCCAGGGAACCAACUAUAUUCUCUGCCUUAGACUCAUCAGUCCUCAGUGUGGUGACUCUGAGAAAGUCACUUAACCUCUGUCAAUUUCAGUGCCCUGAACCAUAAAAUGGGAGUCACAGCUCCUACUCUGCCCACCCUACAUCACACGAGAUAGAUUUUUUAACAUGAGCUAUGAAGAGUCAGACCCCUGCCCAUGGGGAAGAGUGAGGGUCUCUCCUCCCCUGACCUGUCACCUCCCGUGUUCCCUCCCUGGAGGUCACCAGUGCUAAGUGUCUUGCUUAUUCUUCCAAAAAUUGAACACUUAUGUAGGUAUACUUAUGAUACAAGGCAUUUUCUUCAGGCUUUGUCUGUAUUUGCUCAUUUUUAGCCCCUUCACACAAUGGUGACAAGCAGAUCCCUCCUAUUCACAUUUCCACACCCCAGAGCAGGGGACGGAGGACAGAGGGGCUAAGGGACAUUCCCAGAGACACGUGGGUUUGAUCUCAGGUCAUCUGGCCCCAGCACCCACACCCUCAGUCACUGCGUUGUGCUGACUUUCUGCAUUGUCCCAUCUAAAUAAAAUGAUUAUUCCAACACUUUCUACAUUGUGUCAUCUAAAUAAAGUGAUUGGUCCCACACAAUCAGCCUGGGGGUAUUUGCAACACACACCGAUCUGCAAGACCUUCCCAAGCCCUGCUUGAGUUCAGGUGACUCCUCAGAUGUGUUUCCACUACUUUGCUGCAAGAAUGCAAAACAGAAAAGCAAAAGUUACUACUAAUGGAUUCAAACAAAGGUUGCACAUCGAUCCUCAGUGAAGAGAACACGCUGCCUGUCCCAGGAGUCUUUCAGCAGCAUCACGAGGAGCAUGUGGCCAAAUGACAGGGCUGAGCCUCAGGUGCCAUCCCGUACACCCUGCUCCACUGAUGCCACUGUGGGAUUCUUUCACUAAACCGAUUGAGAGCAGGCUUUCUGUUGGCCACUUGUUUGCCCCAGCUGUUAUCCACCACCUCAACUGUAACAAAGUGACACAUUUGCCUGUCAUUGUUUUUUGACAUUUGUGCCAGGGGAGAGGAUUUUUGCUCUGGGAAAACUCCAAAUCAGGGUAAAUACAGACAGUCUAACAAGUAGGAUGUUACAGGGUCCACCAGACAGGUUAAUGAGGGAUGACUCUUUAAAGAAAUGAGGUUUUGAGGGCAUUCCAGCCCCAUUCUGCUCUGCCCAGUGGCUGCCACGUUGCUGGUUUUCACCAGGGGCUUGGAGUUUUCUGAGCUACUUUGGGACUACAGGACAAAGGACGGUCGCCAUGGCUCAACAAUUUAAAGAAGCAAGUACAUGUGUCCUCUGCCUGUCUUAUCUUGAAAAACCCGUACGCCUCAGCUGUGGCUUUAUCUGCUGUCUGGAUGCAUCAGCACACUCCAGAAGGAGCCCAGUGGGGAAGGCGUCUCAUGCCCCUCCUGUCCCCUGGCCACUCAGAAGAACGACAUCCGGCCCAGUUACCAGCUGGGGAAGUUGGUUUCCACAAUCAAGGAGCUAGAGCCCCAGCUGAGAGCAGUUCUAUACCAGAACCCAAGAAUGCUGAAGUUCCAAGUGGACAUGACCUUGGACAUUGACACGGCCAACAAUGGACUCAUCAUUUCUGAUGACCUGAGGUCUGUCCGUUGCGGGCCACUCAGACAGAAUCGGAGGGAGCGUGCUGAGAGAUUCAAACGCGUAACAUGUGUCCUGGGAGCCCCUCGGUUCACGUCGGGACGCCAUUACUGGGAAGUGGACGUGGGGACAAGCAAAGAAUGGGACCUGGGUGUUUGCAAAGAAUCUGUCGAUCGACAGGGCCCAGUUCUACUGUCUUCGGCACUUGGCUUCUGGACUGUGGGUUUGAGAAAGGAAGUGCUCCUCGCAGCCAGCACUGUGCCCCUAACUGCCCCCCUGGUGAGUCCCCGGUUACGCCGAGUAGGCAUCUUCCUGGAUAUGGAUAUUGGAACCAUUUCCUUUUACAACGUUAGCGAUGGCUCCCACGUCUUUACAUUCACUAAGGUGUCUGUCGCAGAGCCACUGCGUGCAUUCUUUUCUCCUGCAUAUUCGGUUAACGACGAUCAAAGCCUCCUGACUAUCUGUCCCAUGACAAAUCUGGGCACUGCCAGAUCUCCCAAUCCAUCCUGAACAAGGCAAAUAAACGUCUAGCCACAAAAA